rnacentral:rRNA from 1 species
GAUGAACGCUGGCGGCGUGCCUAAUACAUGCAAGUCGAGCGAACAGACGAGGAGCUUGCUCCUCUGACGUUAGCGGCGGACGGGUGAGUAACACGUGGAUAACCUACCUAUAAGACUGGGAUAACUUCGGGAAACCGGAGCUAAUACAGGAUAAUAUAUUGAACCGCAUGGUUCAAUAAUGAAAGACGGUUUUGCUGUCACUUAUAGAUGGAUCCGCGCCGCAUUAGCUAGUUGGUAAGGUAACGGCUUACCAAGGCAACGAUGCGUAGCCGACCUGAGAGGGUGAUCGGCCACACUGGAACUGAGACACGGUCCAGACUCCUACGGGAGGCAGCAGUAGGGAAUCUUCCGCAAUGGGCGAAAGCCUGACGGAGCAACGCCGCGUGAGUGAUGAAGGUCUUCGGAUCGUAAAACUCUGUUAUUAGGGAAGAACAAAUGUGUAAGUAACUAUGCACGUCUUGACGGUACCUAAUCAGAAAGCCACGGCUAACUACGUG